GGCCGGAGCGGCAGGGCGGGGAGGGGAGAGCGGAGUUCCUGGAAGGAGCCGCUCGGCGCCGCCGCUGCACAACAUGGCCUCCUCCGCCUCCUCGUCUGCGGCCGGCGCCGAGGGCACCCCUCCUGCGCAGGGUGACUAUGGAUCCUACUAUUCGCAGAGCUCUAGAAAGGUACUUAAAGAAGCCAGUCUGCAGUGGUCAUGUGGGAGAGCACAGGUUCGAGUGGAGGCCGGAGCAGUGGCGAUCUAG
rnacentral:lncRNA from 1 species